UACAGGGGGGGCAAGCGUUGUUCGGAAUUACUGGGCGUAAAGGGCCAGUAGGCGGCCAACUAAGUCACACGUGAAAUCCCCAGGCUUAACCUGGGAACUGCGUGUGAUACUGGAUGGCUUGAAUUCGGGAGAGGGAUGCAGAAUUCCAGGUGUAGCGGUGAAAUGCGUAGAUAUCUGGAGGAACACCGGUGGCGAAGGCGGAUCUCUGGGCCAUUACUGACGCUGAGGAGCGAAAGCGUGGGGAGCGAACAGG
rnacentral:rRNA from 1 species